UGUGUUUAUUUUAUUUUUUUUCUUCUUUAAAAGACUAAUUAUUUUUUAAUUUGGGGUAGUUUUAAUUUUUUAAUUAUUUUUUUCUUGUUGUAUCUCUCUGUCAGACGCACAUAAUUCUCCUAUUUUUGGUCACCGAUUGCUUUUUUAUUUUGCUUUGCCGAUAAAAAAAUUGCUCAUCAUUGCCGGUUGGCGGCACUAGUAGUUAUUCUGUUUCCAUGUCCGUGAGAAAUUUUUAUUGUGUAACCUUUAUUUAAUUC
rnacentral:lncRNA from 1 species